AAUCCAUAGGUUAAUGAGGCGAACCGGGGGAACUGAAACAUCUAAGUACCCCGAGGAAAAGAAAUCAACCGAGAUUCCCCCAGUAGCGGCGAGCGAACGGGGAGGAGCCCAGAGCCUGAAUCAGCAUGUGUGUUAGUGGAAGCGUCUGGAAAGGCGCGCGAUACAGGGUGAGAGCCCCGUACACAAAAGCGCACGUGCUGUGAGCUCGAUGAGUAGGGCGGGACACGUGGUAUCCUGUCUGAAUAUGGGGGGACCAUCCUCCAAGGCUAAAUACUCCUGACUGACCGAUAGUGAACCAGUACCGUGAGGGAAAGGCGAAAAGAACCCCGGCGAGGGGAGUGAAACAGAACCUGAAACCGUGUACGUACAAGCAGUGGGAGCCCCACCACUAAGCCAGUGGUGAACUCCACAUACGCAUCCUUUGCUGAGGAUGCGGUUAACGGAGCGAGAGCGACGUUUAACCGCAAAAGAAGCAGAGGGGGCUUAGUGGUGGGGUGACUGCGUACCUUUUGUAUAAUGGGUCAGCGACUUAUAUUCUGUAGCAAGGUUAACCGCAUAGGGGAGCCGGAGGGAAACCGAGUCUUAAUUGGGCGUUAAGUUGCAGGGUAUAGACCCGAAACCCGGUGAUCUAGCCAUGGGCAGGUUGAAGGUUGGGUAACACUAACUGGAGGACCGAACCGACUAAUGUUGAAAAAUUAGCGGAUGACCUGUGGCUGGGGGUGAAAGGCCAAUCAAACCGGGAGAUAGCUGGUUCUCCCCGAAAGCUAUUUAGGUAGCGCCUCGUGAAUUCAUCUCCGGGGGUAGAGCACUGUUUCGGCCAGGGGGCCAUCCCGGCUUACCAAUCCGAUGCAAACUGCGAAUACCGGAGAAUGUUAUCACGGGAGACACACGGCGGGUGCUAACGUCCGUCGUGAAGAGGGAAACAACCCAGACCGCCAGCUAAGGUCCCAAAGUCAUGGUUAAGUGGGAAACGAUGUGGGAAGGCCCAGACAGCCAGGAUGUUGGCUUAGAAGCAGCCAUCAUUUAAAGAAAGCGUAAUAGCUCACUGGUCGAGUCGGCCUGCGCGGAAGAUGUAACGGGGCUAAACCAUGCACCGAAGCUGCGGCAGCGACACUGAUGUGUUGUUGGGUAGGGGAGCGUUCUGUAAGCCGUUGAAGGUGGCCUGUGAGGGUUGCUGGAGGUAUCAGAAGUGCGAAUGCUGACAUAAGUAACGAUAAAGCGGGUGAAAAGCCCGCUCGCCGGAAGACCAAGGGUUCCUGUCCAACGUUAAUCGGGGCAGGGUGAGUCGACCCCUAAGGCGAGGCCGAAAGGCGUAGUCGAUGGGAAACGGGUUAAUAUUCCCGUACUUGGUGUUACUGCGAAGGGGGGACGGAGAAGGCUAUGUUGGCCGGGCGACGGUUGUCCCGGUUUAAGCGUGUAGGUGUGUGUUCCAGGUAAAUCCGGUU
rnacentral:rRNA from 1 species